GAACAAAAUGUUCCCUUUUACUUUUUCUCUUAUUUUUUUCAAAUUUGAAGAUAUGAUUUGAUGACAUCAGCGUGAUAUGGAUCACAGAUUUAGGGUGCUUAUGUUAUUGUAUAAGUUAGUUACUUACAAUCGACACACCUCGACAGAUUCCACCGCCUAUCGCGUCAAAUUAGACUGAAAAUGGCCGAGGCAUGCUGAAUGCGAAAUUUCAGACAUAAAUUUCGGAAAACAAAGUCUUGAAAGGCUCUUGAAUUGAACUCGUGUCUAACAAUGAGAAAGUAUUACAUGUUCCUCUUAAAUUAGA
rnacentral:lncRNA from 1 species